CAUUGGGUUUAAAGGGUCCGUAGGCGGGCUAGUAAGUCAGUGGUGAAAGUCUGCAGCUCAACUGUAGAAUUGCCAUUGAUACUGCUGGUCUUGAAUAACUAUGAAGUAAUUAGAAUGUGUAGUGUAGCGGUGAAAUGCAUAGAUAUUACACAGAAUACCGAUUGCGAAGGCAGGUUACUAGUAGUGUAUUGACGCUGAUGGACGAAAGCGUGGGGAGCGAACAGGAUUAGAUACCCUGGUAGUCCACGCCGUAAACGAUGGAUACUAGCUGUUCGUACCACAUUGGUGGUAUGAGUGGCCAAGCGAAAGUGAUAAGUAUCCCACCUGGGGAGUACGUUCGCAAGAAUGAAACUC
rnacentral:rRNA from 1 species